CAAGAAGACCCCUAAGAAUUUUAAAAAUAGUAAUUUUUAGUUUCAAAGAAUGCUAUUUUUUAGUUGGGGCAACUAAGAAAUAUUAUAAACUUUUUUAAAAUAAAAUGAUCCAUUAUUAAUGAUUAUUUGAAAAAAUACUCUAGGGAUAACAGCGUAAUAAUUUUUGAUAGAACAUAUAGACAAAAUAGUUUGCGACCUCGAUGUUGGAUUAGGAUACUUUUUUAAUGAAGAUGUUAAAAAAAGAAGUUUGUUCAACUUUUAAAGUCCUACUUGAUCUGAGUUCA
rnacentral:rRNA from 1 species